rnacentral:rRNA from 1 species
UACGGGGGGGGCAAGCGUUGUUCGGAAUUACUGGGCGGAAAGGGCUCGUAGGCGGCCAACUAAGUCCGACGUGAAAUCCCCAGGCUUAACCUGGGAACUGCGUCGGAUACUGGAUGGCUUGAAUUCGGGAGAGGGAUGCAGAAUUCCAGGUGUAGCGGUGAAAUGCGUAGAUAUCAAGCAGAACACCUGCGGCGAAGGCGGCCUUCUGGACGAUGACUGACGCUGAGACGCGAAAGCGUGGGGAGCAAACAGG